rnacentral:rRNA from 1 species
UACGUAGGGUGCGAGCGUUUAAUCGGAAUUACUGGGCGUAAAGCGCGCGCAGGCGGCUAUCCAAGUCAGUGGUGAAAGCCCGGAGCUCAACUCCGGAACUGCCAUUGAAACUGUUGAACUUGAGGACGAGAGAGGUGAGUGGAAUUCCCAGUGUAGAGGUGAAAUUCGUAGAUAUUGGGAAGAACACCGGUGGCGAAGGCGGCUCACUGGCUCGUUUCUGACGCUCAGGCGCGACAGCGUGGGGAUCAAACAGG